AAGUCGUAACAAGGUUUCCGUAGGUGAACCUGCGGAAGGAUCAUUACCGAAUUGGCACUCUGUGUCGACAACAUGAUCGAGCGAGCUCGGCGUGGUUCACGUCGUGCGAGGGAGCUCCCUUCCAGGAGCUCCAGCGCCGUUCCCCGCUUCGGCGGGAGCUCGUCCACUUCGCUCGGAGUGGAGAAAGAACGGACCCGGUGCUUGCACCAACAACCUGUGCUUGAAAAGGAACCCAAAUGCAGUACAACUGCAAACGGUGGAUCACUCGGCUC
rnacentral:misc_RNA from 1 species